UACGGAGGGGGUUAGCGUUGUUCGGAAUGACUGGGCGUAAAGCGCGCGUAGGCGGGCUGGAAAGUUGGGGGUGAAAUCCCGGGGCUCAACCCCGGAAUGGCCUUCAAAACUCCCAGCCUAGAGUUCGAGAGAGGUGAGUGGAAUUCCGAGUGUAGAGGUGAAAUUCGUAGAUAUUCGGAGGAACACCAGUGGCGAAGGCGGCUCACUGGCUCGACACUGACGCUGAGGCACGAAAGCGUGGGGAGCAAACAGG
rnacentral:rRNA from 1 species